CUGCAGGACAUGCUGCUUGAUUAAGCUUGGUUAAAACAUAAUUUUAUGGUUUCUUACUGUAAUGUGUGCUAGAAUAUUCUUCUAUCUAGUUGCGUUGGAAGAGCUGGAUCGUUUCCGAGCUUGCGAUCACAAGCGACACAAGGGCGCAACCCUGGAGCAGCUCGUUUCCCUACGCCUUGCAGUGCGUUUAUGGUUGGUAUCGUGUGGUCUUGUGCAUUCCGUUUUUCAGUGCUGUUGCUCUUGUUUGUUGAAUUUGCUGUUGUGAAUGGGGUGCAUGUGUGCUCUCAGCUAGGCAGUACUUUUUUAUCUGAUGGUGUAAAGGUUUAAACUCGUUCUAAACGCUUGUUGCUGCCGUUGCCGCUUAGUUUUGUGCAUCGAUCGGGAAACAAUUUUGUUUCCUCCUUCGUGAGACUUGCUGUACGUUACAGAUAAUGCGCGAGUAAGUGAGCUGUUGCAUACUUCUUUAUGGCACUCGAUGUAGCGUUUACCUCUACUCUUGGUCUUCUGUACGGAC
rnacentral:lncRNA from 1 species